rnacentral:rRNA from 1 species
UACAGAGGGUGCAAGCGUUAAUCGGAAUUACUGGGCGUAAAGGGCGCGUAGGUGGUUAAUUAAGUUGUAUGUGAAAACCCUGGGCUUAACCUAGGAAUUGCAUAUAAAACUGAUUAGCUAGAGUGCGGUAGAGGGAAGUGGAAUUUCCGGUGUAGCGGUGAAAUGCGUAGAUAUCGGAAGGAACAUCAGUGGCGAAGGCGACUUCCUGGACCGUUACUGACACUGAGGCGCGAAAGCGUGGGGAGCGAACAGG